rnacentral:rRNA from 1 species
AUUGAACGCUGGCGGAAUGCUUUACACAUGCAAGUCGAACGGCAGCACGGGGCAACCUGGUGGCGAGUGGCGAACGGGUGAGUAAUACAUCGGAACGUGCCCAGUCGUGGGGGAUGACGUAGCGAAAGUUACGCUAAUACCGCAUACGAUCUAAGGAUGAAAGCGGGGGAUCGCAAGACCUCGCGCGAUUGGAGCGGCCGAUGUCAGAUUAGGUAGUUGGUGGGGUAAAGGCCCACCAAGCCGACGAUCUGUAGCUGGUCUGAGAGGACGACCAGCCACACUGGGACUGAGACACGGCCCAGACUCCUACGGGAGGCAGCAGUGGGGAAUUUUGGACAAUGGGCGCAAGCCUGAUCCAGCCAUUCCGCGUGCAGGAUGAAGGCCUUCGGGUUGUAAACUGCUUUUGUACGGAGCGAAAAGGCUCUCUCUAAUACAGGGGGCUCAUGACGGUACCGUAAGAAUAAGCACCGGCUAACUACGUGCCAGCCGCCGCCGUAAUAC